AGUGAACGCUGGCGGUAGGCCUAAUACAUGCAAGUCGAACGGACGCACAGUAAGCGUUCGUCCCUAAGGGUGGCGAGUGGCGGACGGGUGAGGAAUACAUAGCAAACUACUAUUUCGUGGGGGACUACGUAAGGAAACUUAUAAUAAUACCGCAUAUUUCCUACGGGUGAAAGCAGAGGAUCAACGCACUCUGCGUGUCAGUAAGAGCCGAUGUCGGAUUAGCUAGUUGGCGGGGUAAAGGCCCACCAAGGCGACGAUCCGUAGCUGGUCUGAGAGGAUGAUCAGCCACACUGGAACUGAGACACGGUCCAGACUCCUACGGGAGGCAGCAGUGGGGAAUAUUGGACAAUGGGCGCAAGCCUGAUCCAGCCAUACCGCGUGGGUGAAGAAGGCCUUCGGGUUGUAAAGCCCUUUUGUUGGGAAAGAAAAGCAGCAGGUUAAUACCCCGCUGUUCUGACGGUACCCAAAGAAUAAGCACCGGCUAACUUCGUG
rnacentral:rRNA from 1 species